CAUUCUCUCCUCUGGUUAAAUCUCAUUGUUUCCCUCAGAUGUGGUUUCUGACUGUCACUUAAUUGGUGUGACUAAUUCUUUUACAGAUCCUGGAAAAGAGAAAGAAUCAAAAUCUCCAGCUGCCACAAAAGAUAAAGAUUCCCUGAAAGGAAAAAAUCCCAGGAAUCCAGAGAGCUUAAAAGAAAAAGAGACUGGUAAAAGAAAAGAUGUAAAGCCUCCAGCAGCCUUAAAGGAGAAAGACUCUUCAAAACGAAAAGAAAUUAAGGCUUCAACUAAUCCUAAGGAAAAAGCUGCAGUGAAAAAGGAGGGGGAGAAGAAAGCUACCUCAGAGAACCCUCAUGAACACAAGCAUGAACGUGUUAAACGUGAAAAAGCUGUCUCUCAGACUAAGCCAGAGGAGAAAAUGAAACAACAAAAGGCAACUCCCACUGAGAAGUCAGCUCAGGCAAAGUCAGCAAAGCAUGAAACAGUCAGACAUGAAAAAGAUGUUCCCCUUACAAAACCAGGUAAGCAAUCCUGCCUUUUAUUUUGCAUAUUUCUUUUGAAAAUGUUAUUUAAAGAAAUAGUGAAAUACAAUCGCAUGUGACAAAUGUCAAGACCAUGGCCCUGUGAUCUACUUUGAUGUAUAGAAUGGCUCUGACAUUCUGUACCACAAACUAAAUAGCACUGUACAUACUUGUAAUGCUGGUUGUCAUUUUAAGAUAUAGAUAUAUGUAUAUAUCAAAGGUCAAAUUUCUGCUUCUGUAGUUCCACUGAUCUCAAAGGCAUAUGCCAGCAAAGAACUUGAACUGCUUUCUGAAACUGCUUACUUUAAAUGGCUCCAUUUUGCUAAUUAUUUGUGGGGAUUGGCCUUUUAUUUGGACCUCACAACAGAGCUAGCCCCCCAGGAUGAGCAAUACUUCAAUUUUCAUCCUUUGCAGGUAUCAUAUGAUAUAUUAUUCAGAUCUUGAUCCGGAACUAUCCAUCAUCUGUGGUCAGUGUCUCUGAUAUCAUACUCAUGCACAGCCUCACUUGCACAAGACAAAGCAAAAUUGAUGCUGGUUUCGGAAGGAGCAUUGCUCAGUUUCACUGUGGACUAUCAUCAUGGGUUUAAAAAAUGUCUGCUCCAUGCUUCUUCAAGAAAGGAAAUAAGUGAAGAGUUAAAAUUUGUAUUGUUCAUAUUAGACAUUCUCAACUCUAGCAAAACAAUUACAGCCAGUAAAUCAGAAAACUCCUACUACUAUAAUUCAUUAUUAGAUUGCUAUUAAUUGCUGUGAGAUUAUUAUAAGUUUACACUGCUAUUAAUUACACAUUUUGAUGUGUGGAAACAUAUAGAACAAAUAAAGCCAUUCUCUGCCAUAAAAAUAUUAUGCUCAACCUGACUGUUUUGACCAUUUUUCUUCCCUCUUUUUACUUCUCAGUCAAACCGAAAAACACUGCAAGUACGUGUAAUGAUUUAUUUCUUAUGGCAUAGAAACCUUCUUUUCAGAUGCAUGUUCUCUCAAUUUGCAUUUUUGCAAUUUUGACAUGUUAGAUAAUGCUAUUUUCUUGCUUAUACUACAGAUACUCUUGUAUUCUUGUAUUCUAACAGCCAAACACAAUAAAAUCAAGCACAUUUAUAAUGCAAUAUGUGAAGCUGCAAGAUUCAAACAUUGUUUCUAAUUUUUACUCCCUAGAAAAUGAUGUAAAUUAUACUGGUAGCAAAACUGAUAUUCUGGUGGUUUUAGAUGAGUGUAGAUGUAUAAUUUAUAUUUAUGCAAAUAUAUUGUUAAUUAAAAAUAAGAAAAUAGCAUGUAGCAUGACUGAAUUAGACAACUUUUCCUUACUUCUUUUACCAUUUGGAAAUUACUUACAUCAUUAAUUCACUAAGCAUAUUGUUGGCCUUGUUCCAAUAAAAGCUUUUUUAAAUAAAAAACCUAAAUUAAAUUAAAGAAGAGAAAGGAAUAUUUCCAAUUUAGAUUAGUUUUAAGGAGGAUUCAAGGGGAAUUUGUCACAUUGCAGAAAACUUCCACUGAAGUCAUAGAAUAAUGUCCUUUUUAAGGUCCUUUUUAAGGCAGGCUUCUGAAGAGAUGAAUAUUGGGAUCUAUGCUUAUUGCUGCAAGUCAUUACACAUUACAUUCUGCAAAGCAUUGUCAGACAAGGAUCAGAAGGACAGUGUUUGUACUGUGUGCUUUGAGUUGUGAAAAUGCUGAAGUGUGAACUUUCACAGAUGAAUUAGUUGUUGCCUCUUUAGCACAGGAUCUGUGUUUUCUUUUUGGUGCUGUGCCUGGCACAUCAAGACCAAACCAUAUGUUAUUCUGAUGGAAAGUAAGCUGGCGACAAGGCAAAGCAAAAGGAUUCACUUAAACUUCCUAGACCAGUCACCUGUGCUAGGUGCUUAGAGGGGAUGAAGCCUGCUCUUAAACACCUGCAGGAAAACAGUGUUACUCUGAAUCUCAGAUGUGAAGUGGAAGUGUGAGCACAAGGCAUCUGAAAUGUGACUGUGCUGAAGGAUCUCCAUUAUCCAUGAGCUGCAAUGUUCCAUUUCGAGUUAUUAUUGCAAAGUUAUUACUUCGUGUGAAGCUAUCCAUGGGCUUAUUUCCAUUUUUGCCAGUAUUUUAAGAAAGUUUUGCUCUACUUAAUUCUAUUCACUUUUGUUAAGUCUUGUUUUCACCUGCUUUCAUCACAAAAAUCACCGUCUACAAUGUUUUUUUUAUCAAGAGCUAUAUUGCCCUGGUAUAUUCUGAAUAUAAGGAACAGCCAGGAUAUUUUCCCAUGAUCUUUGCAGAGGGAUGUUUGUACUACAUUCUUGAGCUUAUAUUCUGCUGCUUGAAAUGAUUAUAAAGUUUAACAGUGUCUUUAGGAAAAAAAAAGGAAAAGAAAAAGAAAAAGAAAAAGAAAAAGAAA
rnacentral:lncRNA from 1 species